GGAACAUUUAAUAAGGCUUUUAUCAAAGAGGAAAAGUAGAAAGUUUGAUUAUUUUUUAAUUACUCAGGCAAACAAAGGGUAAAACAACAGAAAAAGCAAGUGUUUCAGAUUUAUUUAUAGGUUGAUUUGUGGAAAAUUGGUCGUCACAUUCCGCAGUGACUGCAGGCAAUUAUUGUAAUUGUGUCUCUCAGUGUCUUUAACUUUUGUUUCAAACUUUGGCACGCCAGGCGGAACGCAUUCACGUAUGUAAAAGAUACUUGUUGCCAACUACCGAUCUCCUGCAGCAGCAGGAGUCAUAACUCAGAGUUGAGCUGCCCUUUCAUACAGAAACACUCCCCAACAGGAAUGACUGCAAUGUCUUCACAAAGAGACCCAUAGAAGAAUAUCUCCUGCAGGUUUGUGAUUUGACAUUUCCAGUCGGCGUGAUUGACAGCUUGGAGGUGUGGG